UCAAUUUAGACUAAUGUGAAUGCUGAUGAUCAUGCAGGUUUAGUUGAUGUGUUCGAUGAUGCUGAAGUCUCUGAUAGUUACUCGCUAUGGUGGACAGCAAGCAAAGGUGCAUAGAAGGCCAAGAACUCAUGUGAGUGUUGUUCAUUUCACUGCCAUUCUGAUUAGUAAUUUCAGAGGAAGAAGACAUGUCUAUAUUCUAUCUGAGUUUUUUCUCAUAUCAAUUCAGCAAUAUUCACUUGCAUGGAAUGAAAUGCAACAAGAGUGGCAGGACCAUCAGCUAGGAUAAGAGACAAACAUGCAGAUGCGUGUGAUGGAAUGCUAAGUAAAUAUAAGUAAUGUCGUUAUAGAAUUGUCUGGUAUCAUACUUUCUAAAUAUUUGUUUUCAGUGCACUUUUCAUUGAUUGGAAU